rnacentral:lncRNA from 1 species
UUCUCCUGUCGAACCAAGUGGUUUAAUUUUUGUUCAGCCCAGUGAUUCUCCUAAAAUUCCCAGGUCUCAGGCCGGGUGCGGUGGCUCACGCCUGUAAUCCCAGCACUUUGGGAGGCCGAGGCGGGUGGAUCACGCAGUCAGGAGUUCAAGACCAGCCUGGCCAAGAUGGUGAAACCCCAUUUCUGCUACAAAUACAAACAUUAGCCGGGCGUGGUGGCAGGCGCCUGUAAUCCCAGCUACUCCGGAGGCUGAGACAGGAGAAUCGCUUGAGCCCGGGAGGCGGAGGCUGCAGUGAGCCGUGAUCGCGCCACUGCACUCCAACCUGGGCAACAAAGAGGGAAACUCUGUCUCAAAAAAAAAAAAAAAAAAAAAAAAAAAGGAGCUAUGUGUAUACAGUCCAGCUUCAGUGAUCCGGUGCGCAGUGUCUCACGCCUGCAAUCCCAGCACUUUAGUUGGUUGAAGCGGAUGGAUCACUUGAGCCAGGAGUUAGAAGCUAGCCCUGGCAACAUAAUUAAGACACCGUCUCUACAAAAAAAAUUUUAAAAAUUAGCCAGCCUUUAGUCGCUUAUGCUGAGGAGGGAGGAUCACUUUAGCCCAGGAGUUCAAGUGAGCUGAUUACGCCCUGCCCUCCAGCCUGGACUACAAAGCAAGACCCUGCCUUCUCGCCAGUGGGUGUGGGGCGAGUCGCAAUAGUGGUUCCCUCUGCAUAGUGAUUGGAAAGGAACUUAGGGUGCUGAGACCAGCCUAGCGUCCGAAAUGGAGCUCUCGUUAU